rnacentral:rRNA from 1 species
UCCGUAGCCGGCUUGACAAGUCUUCUGUUAAAUCCAGCAACCCAAUUGUUGGACUGCGGGAGAUACUGUCUAGCUAGAGAACGGGAGAAGCCGACGGUACUCUCAGGGUAGGAGUGAAAUCCUAUAAUCCUGGGAGGACCACCAGUGGCGUAGGCUGUCGGCUAGAACGUGUCUGACGGUGAGGGACGAAAGCUUGGGGAGCGAACCGGAUUAGAUACCCGGGUAGUCCAAGCUGUAAACGAUGCGGGCUAGGUGUUGGGGUGGCUACGCGCCACUUCAGUGCCGCAGGGAAGCCGCUAAGCCCGCCGCCUGGGGAGUACGGUCGCAAGGCUGAA